rnacentral:ncRNA from 1 species
AUCCCAUCCCCGGGGAGCGAGCUUUUCGCUGAGAGGGGCGGGAUAAGCGCCGCCUGACCCGUUGAACCUGAACCUGUUAACACAGGCGGAGGGAGCGGGCCUGGCUUCGAC